ensembl:snoRNA SNORD16 Small nucleolar RNA SNORD16
UGCUGUGAUGGUGUAAUUUGCGUCUGAGCCUGUGAACAGUGACGGUUGCCUGCCGUCUCUAGGCUGUCACAGAGUAUUGAUGUCCUUUAAAUCUGAGCA